AUGAAUAAACUCUUAAGUGUUAGUGAAUCUAUUGUUUUGAUGGGAUACCCAUUCUACGAAACUAGUUUCAACGAUCCAACCGUCAAACAUGUUUGUAUAUAUUUCGAGAUUGCAUAUGCCAAAAAUUGCAAAAAAACAAACAUUCAGAGAUCAAGUAACGAGACAAAACUUUUCGACAGUUAUAAACGAAAAAUCACGAUUUAACGGUUAUUUUAACUCCGAUUUUGAUGAUUUUUUUACAGCUACACUCAUUGACCUUAUAUGAAUACAAUGAAUGAAUUCGAUCUUCAAUUUAAAAUAUUUACA
rnacentral:lncRNA from 1 species